ACGAACGCUGGCGGCGUGGAUAAGGCAUGCAAGUCACGGGGGCCGCAAGGCAACCGGCGAACGAGGUAGUAACACGUAGGAAUCUCCCCCAAAGUCUGGUAUAGCUCAUCGAAAGAUGGGGUAAUCCCGGAUGGUCUCGUAAGAGUAAAGGCGUAAGCCGCUUUGGGAAGAGCCUGCGGGAUAUCAGCUAGUUGGCAGUGUAAAAGACUACCAAGGCGAUGACGUCUAGGGGAGGUGAGAGCCUGACCCCCACCGAUGGGACUGCGACACGGCCCAUACACCUACGGGUGGCAGCAGCCGAGAAUAUUCCGCAAUGGGCGAAAGCCUGACGGAGCGACGCCGCGUGAUGGAUGAAGUCUUUCGGGAUGUAAACAUCUUUUCCUGGGGAGAACGUUUCGAUAGUACCCAGGGAAUAAGAGGUUGCUAAACUCGU
rnacentral:rRNA from 1 species